CAGAAAAUAGUUUAUAAAAACAUAUGAGUUGGAUACAUAAAAUAAGAGACUUUACUCUUUUUUCUGA
rnacentral:tRNA from 1 species